UACCAGAUGUUUUUGCAUGUAUCAGCAGGUAGCAGACAGACGCAACAUGUUUGCAUGUACAGUGUGGGCCUUUUCCAGCUGCACAUUCGCAAUCCGUAUUUAGAAUUUCUCCCAUAGCAUUAAUUUUAAUUUUAUAACAAUAAGAGGUUGUUUUCUUCAUGGAUGUUGAUACAACACCAGUGAUAAAAACGUCAUGAUUUUUGGAAAACAUACUACAGACUAAAACUCUGCCAGAUUCAAGUAAAAGCCUUCCUUUUUGUAAUGAUUUGAGAUCUCAUCGUUUAGCAUACGAUCUAUAUAAAACACAAUUGUUUGUUUUUGUAAUUUUGAUCUAUAUAAAACACAAUUGUUUGUUUUUGUAAUUUUUUAUUGUAUACAUCAGUAAGUAUUAUUAACGUUUUACAUCACUAUUAGUUGAUAUCCACUGCACCUUCAAAAAAGUUUCUGAUAUUGGAGGUAUAACACUUUCUUCAGUUAAACUUUCAAAAGUACCACUGUCUGAUGUAGGCCAAUCUGGUAUCGUUGCUAGGGGAAUAUUAACUGAAUACAUAACGUGAAAUUGAAAUGCAUUACCCCUGCUCUUUCCCCUGGUCAUGCCGAUAUUUUAUGCUUGGGUUAAUUUUUUUAUAUUCAGUAUUAUUCCUAUUAAUCGAACGAGAAAAUUUAAAACAAAUUAAAGCAACUAUAGUUUAGCAGCAGCUGACCAAUGAAAUAUAUACUAGUAUAAGUUAAUUUUUUCCGUAUUUAUCCCUCUUACCAAUAAAGCCGCUUUUAUCUUAUCUACUUUAAUUCUUCCGGUUAUCCACUCUUAUUUUUCAGCCAUUAAAUGUUUAUGAAUUUUCGCUUGUUGCGCCCGGCUUUACCUUGCUGCUAAAGUUUUGUUAUUUAAUUAGAAUUACGUCUGUAGCGGUUUAUUAGAGGAAAAACAACGCCUUCUCACCGCGACUCACAAAAUAAGAAUGCCGAAUUUUUAAAAAAUGCAUGAAUAAACACAGACUUACGAUAAACACCACCACCAGGGGGCUCGUCACACGUCAUUUAAUAUAGACGCAUAGUGAGGAAUUUCUAGCCUCGCCAUUCUGAAUAAAUAGUCACGCCACUCAGAUCUUAUAGCCCCGAUAUUCCGAACUUAGAAUCAGAGAGUUACCCCUGCAAACACUGCUCUGCUCAAUUUAAAAAUUUGACAUCACUGAGAAAACAUGGUGAACUUCAUCAUAACACAUAAAGGGCAAAGCUGCUAUCUGUAAUCAUCGAUCAUGCCAGAGGAAUACACACUGUUACUGCCGCAGUGGUGUAGCUGUUUUGUUUAAUAAUAGUCCCUUCUGUUCCGAUCCAUUGAUUGACAGUACAGCGAAAUUUUACGUUACGUCAUAGCCACGUCUCCUAUAUUCAUUAUCGCUACAGCGAACUUCUUCUUUUCGCCAUAGCCACGAAUCGUUCUUAUUUCAUUUUAAGAGUAACCGUCAUGAAAGCGUGAUGUAUUUUCCCCUGUGAAAUUGUGUUAGCGACUACACGCCAAAUUGCAGUUACCGCAAAUAAAGGACCAACAAAGGAGAGCCUGAUAGCGCGUAACUGCUUUAAGCAAUCUAAAAGAGGCACCAACGAAGUACGUGCCGAAACAACACACACGGUCGUGAAAUCUGAAACCGGAUUAUUGGCUCCAAUUCAUGUGCAGAAACACGUUUCCCAAGACUCUUUUUGCAGCAAUGAAAAUUGCUUUGUAUUAAUGGAGAAGUGCAAUGAAGAUAAACCCGGCUAUUUAAUGUCCUUUUAUAGUCUGGGUUAUUCUUCUCGUUAUGUGUAUUAUUCUGUCUUUACAAAGAACGAGCAGUAUUUUUUCAACCUUGGCCGCGUAAGAGUCACAUUUGUCAGUGAGCUAUGCAUUUGGUCGUGCGAGUGUCCUUAUUCCAACAGCACAUCAAUUUGCAUUCAUGUUUUUAUUGUAUUAUUGCCCUUUUAAGCUUAAUUUAGUAUAUUUUUCAGAAACGAAAGGGCCAGAUAAUCGAGAUGAACUUCAAUUAAAUUACCUCUUACAAGCUCACAAAAUACCAGAAGAUAUUGAAGAACAAUAUAUGUUAAGGGAAAGUUCGUACCAAACAUUAUCUGGUUCAAACUGGCUGGAUGGAAUGGUUAAUAAAUUGUUACUCUGUUUUAAAUACUAUUUUUGCUCCUGAUACAGACCAUUGAAUUUUACCUAAACAUAUUGACAGGGAAUAAAAAUAUCUUGGUGCUGGACUGCUUCAUAGUAGACAGCAUCCUAAAUGAAAAGGAUGAAAUAUACAAACGCCAUACGCUAGACAAGGUCAAUUUCUCGACAUAUAACAAAAUUAUUGGAAGUUCACUGGGCUUCAUAGUAGACAGCAUCCUAAAUGAAAAGGAUGAAAUAUACAAACG